rnacentral:rRNA from 1 species
AGUGAACGCUGGCGGUAGGCCUAACACAUGCAAGUCGAACGGCAGCACAGUAAGAGCUUGCUCUUACGGGUGGCGAGUGGCGGACGGGUGAGGAAUACAUCGGAAUCUACUUUUUCGUGGGGGAUAACGUAGGGAAACUUACGCUAAUACCGCAUACGACCUACGGGGGAAAGCAGGGGAUCUUCGGACCUUGCGCGAUUGAAUGAGCCGAUGUCGGAUUAGCUAGUUGGCGGGGUAAAGGCCCACCAAGGCGACGAUCCGUAGCUGGUCUGAGAGGAUGAUCAGCCACACUGGAACUGAGACACGGUCCAGACUCCUGCGGGAGGCAGCAGUGGGGAAUAUUGGACAAUGGGCGCAAGCCUAAUCCAGCCAUACCGCGUGGGUGAAGAAGGCCUUCGGGUUGUAAAGCCCUUUUGUUGGGAAAGAAGAGCAGCAGGUUAAUACCCCGCUGUUCUGACGGUACCCAAAGAAUAAGCACCGGCUAACUUCGUG